rnacentral:rRNA from 1 species
CUACGGGUCGCAGCAGUGGGGAAUAUUGGGCAAUGGGCGCAAGCCUGACCCAGCAACGCCGCGUGAGGGAAGAAGGUUUUCGGAUUGUAAACCUCUGUCCUUGGGGACGAAGAAGUGACGGUACCCAAGGAGGAAGCUCCGGCUAACUACGUGCCAGCAGCCGCGGUAAUACGUAGGGAGCAAGCGUUGUCCGGAAUUACUGGGCGUAAAGGGUGCGUAGGCGGCAUAUUAAGUCAGGUGUGAAAUACUCGGGCUCAACCCGGGGGCUGCAUUUGAAACUGAUAUGCUUGAGUGUGAGAGGGGAAAGUGGAAUUCCUAGUGUAGCGGUGGAAUGCGUAGAUAUUAGGAGGAACACCAGUGGCGAAGGCGACUUUCUGGCUCAUAACUGACGCUGAGGCACGAAAGCGUGGGGAGCAAACAGGAUUAGAUACCCGCGUAGUC